rnacentral:rRNA from 1 species
UACGGGGGGGGCAAGCGUUGUUCGGAAUUACUGGGCGUAAAGGGCUCGUAGGUGGCCAACUAAGUCGGACGUGAAAUCCCUCAGCUUAACUGGGGAACUGCGUCCGAUACUGGAUGGCUUGAGUUUGGGAGAGGGAUGCGGAAUUCCAGGUGUAGCGGUGAAAUGCGUAGAUAUCUGGAGGAACACCGGUGGCGAAGGCGGCAUCCUGGACCAACACUGACACUGAGGAGCGAAAGCGUGGGGAGCGAACAGG